AUCAAAUCUGAACGUCCGUCAAACUACUCUUACACACGUCUUUAGGUCUCUAAUAACGCCAGACUGACUGACUGGCUCUCUGAUGGACAGGCUGAAUGUUUCUGCAAAAAUAAGAGAAAGCGUUUGGGUCGUGGGGAUGCUGGAGCCUAUCCCAGAAGUCACUGGGCGGCAGGCGAGGAGACACCCUGGACAGACCACCAGGCCAUCACAGGGCCGACACAUUCACAUCUAGGGCCAAUUUAGUACGGCCCAUUCACCCUACCUACAUGUCUUUGGACUGUGGGAGGA